UACGGAGGGUGCAAGCGUUAUCCGGAUUCACUGGGUUUAAAGGGUGCGUAGGCGGGCAGGUAAGUCAGUGGUGAAAUCCCGAAGCUUAACUUCGGAACUGCCAUUGAUACUACUUGUCUUGAAUACUGUGGAGGUGGGCGGAAUAUGUCAUGUAGCGGUGAAAUGCUUAGAUAUGACAUAGAACACCGAUUGCGAAGGCAGCUCACUACACGGCGAUUGACGCUGAGGCACGAAAGCGUGGGGAUCAAACAGG
rnacentral:rRNA from 1 species